rnacentral:rRNA from 1 species
GAUGAACGCUGGCGGCGUGCCUAAUACAUGCAAGUCGAGCGGAAAGACGAGGGGCUUGCUCCUCUGGUGUUCGCGGCGGGCGGGUGAGUAACAUGUGGAUGACCUUACUAUAAGACUGGGGUAAAUUCAGGAAACCGGAGCUAAUACCGGAUAACAUGUUGAAGCGGAUGGUUCAACAGUGAAAGGCGGUCUUGUUGUCACUUGUAGAUGGUUCAGUGCCUAAUUAGCUGGUUGGUGGGGUAACGGCUUACCAAGGCAACGAUGCGUAGCCGAGCUGAGAGGGUGAUCGGCCACACUGGAACUGAGACACGGCCCAGACUCCUACGGGAGGCAGCAGUGGGGAAUCUUCCGCAAUGGGCGAAAGCCUGACGCAGCAACGCCGCGUGAGUGAAGAAGGUCUUCGGAUCGUAAAACUCUGUUAUUAGGGAAGAAAAAAGGGGUAAUUAACUAUGCACGUCUUGACGGUACCUAAACAGAAAGCAACGGCUAACUACGUG